GGUGAUAACUACCGCUCAUUCGUUGAUGAAAUAGUAAUGUUUACAAGGAAAAGGGCACCACUCAUUGGAGUGAAAAUGUGAAAACAUGUCCAUGAAGAUGUAAAAGAGUCAAUAGCAUCUGAUAUAUUGGCUAGGUGGGACAUUGAGGAUAAUGAUCAUUCAAGGAGAAUCAUAUGGGACAUUGCUAAGGAGUGUUACAAAGGAUGGCGUUCAACUUUCAGUGCUACGGCCAAGGCAUACAAUAGCUACCACCAGAGAAUGCUACAUAAACCUAAAGAAUUAGAUAUUGUUGAAUGGCACUAUCUGUUGAAGUAUUUUAGGACUGCAAAAUUCCAGGCAAAGAGCAUACAAAAUUCUGGGAUUCGAGCCCAACAAAGGACCAGACAUUUGUCAGGCUCUAAGCCUUAUGCUCAGUGCAGCUAUGAGAAG